AGCGAACGCUGGCGGCAGGCUUAACACGUGCAAGUCGAACGAACCCUUCGGGGUUAGUGGCGGACGGGUGAGUAACACGUGGGAACGUGCCUUUUGGUUCGGAACAACACAGGGAAACUUGUGCUAAUACCGGACGUGCCCUUCGGGGGAAAGAUUUAUCGCCAUUAGAGCGGCCCGCGUCUGAUUAGCUAGUUGGUGAGGUAAAGGCCCACCAAGGCUACGAUCAGUAGCUGGUCUGAGAGGAUGANCAGCCACACUGGGACUGAGACACGGCCCAGACUCCUACGGGAGGCAGCAGUGGGGAAUCUUGCGCAAUAGGGGAAACCCUGACGCAGCCAUGCCGCGUGAAUGAUGAAGGUCUUAGGAUUGUAAAAUUCUUUCAGCGGGGACGAUAAUGACGGUACCCGCAGAAGAAGCUCCGGCUAACUUCGUGCCA
rnacentral:rRNA from 1 species